rnacentral:rRNA from 1 species
UGGGGAAUUUUGGACAAUGGGCGCAAGCCUGAUCCAGCCAUGCCGCGUGCGGGAAGAAGGCCUUCGGGUUGUAAACCGCUUUUGNCAGGGAAGAAAUCUUCUGAGUUAAUACCUCGGGAGGAUGACGGUACCUGAAGAAUAAGCACCGGCUAACUACGUGCCAGCAGCCGCGGUAAUACGUAGGGUGCAAGCGUUAAUCGGAAUUACUGGGCGUAAAGCGUGCGCAGGCGGUUUUGUAAGACAGAGGUGAAAUCCCCGGGCUCAACCUGGGAACUGCCUUUGUGACUGCAAGGCUUGAGUGCGGCAGAGGGGGGAUGGAAUUCCGCGUGUAGCAGUGAAAUGCGUAGAUAUGCGGAGGAACACCGAUGGCGGAAGGCAAUCCCCUGGGGCCUGCACUGACGCUCAUGCAGGAAAGCGUGGGGAGCAAAACAGGAUUAGAUACCCU